UGGGAUGAGGGAUUGAAGUGGA
rnacentral:miRNA from 1 species